rnacentral:lncRNA from 1 species
CUUUGUAACUAUCUUCCCAAGCUCUGCUUAUUAGUCCCAGUUGUCCUUAAUAGAGUACUUUACUCUCAUCUAAGCCUCUGACCCCUCAAGCUGUGCUCAGUUUGAAACACUAAUAACAAAAAUGCCAAAUGAAUCGCGGAAAAAGAUGGUAGGAUCAUAAGGCUCGCGGUGUAACUUGUGGCAGAUGGAAAACCAGCUCAGACAUGUCCUCUGGAGUGACAGCAGAUGAUUGCUCCCUCUUUAAAUGGUCCCUUCCCCCACAAAGAAGGAAACAAAAGCAUAAAAAAAGAAGAGGACCAUUAGAAGUACAUAAAAGAAGAGCUUUCUUUCUCUGGAUGUGCAUAGUAUUCUUUCUCCUAAAUUCCUCUGGAUUAUCCUGGAUCAUUUCAUUGAUGCUAGGGAGUCAUACUGUUGGUUGGAUAUUCUUCUAGACCUUGAGAGGCUGUGGAUGUGGAAUCAAAGACCUAAAUUCAAAUCCCUGCUCUGCCAUUUCAUUCCUGGCUCACCUUUACCUUUUGGAGGUAUAAUGUCCUCAUCUCAAAAUGACUGUUUGUUAUAUUCCCUAUUCAAUUAUUUUCAUCUUUAAAUCUCAAUCAUGGAUCACCUCAGUUAAAAGACAAUGUUCAAGAGGUGAUGAGUGAAAAAAAAUCAAUAUUCUGUGAAUGACAAGGUGAUGUAUCCCUUGAAAUUUAGCCAGAGCAUUUCUUAGACAAUAAAUAUACAGUUUACUUUACGAAUCA